GGGGAUUUGGCUCAGCGGUAGAGCACUUGCCUAGCAAGUGCAAGGCCCUGGGUUCGGUCCCCAGCUCCG
rfam:Rattus norvegicus chromosome 8, whole genome shotgun sequence.